GGCGCAGUGGCUCAUGCCUGUAAUCUCAGCACUUUGGGAGGCCAAGGCGGGUGGAUCACCUGAGGUUGGGAGUUCAAGACCAGCCUGACCAACAUGGAGAAACUCCGUCUCUACUAAAAAAAUACAAAAUUAGCCGGGCAUGGUGGCGCAUGCCUGUAAUCCCAGCUACUCGGGAGGCUGAGGCAGGAUAACCUCCGGUGAGCCAAGAUUGCACCAUUGCACUCCAGCCUGGGCAACAAGAGCAAAACUCCAUCUAAAAAAAAAA
rnacentral:lncRNA from 1 species